UUUCUAAUUCUCUUAUUCCUCCUAAAAACAAAUCACCUUCUGUAGUAGUUAAUCAUGAUAUUAAGGAACCAAAGGAAGAAAAAGAAGCAGUAUCUGAAAAUAAAACAAGUCCAUCGAAUCAAGUAGCAGAAGUUUCUAAAUCCAAUGAAAAUCAAGUAUCUUUGAAUGAUGGAAUUUGUAUUAAAGAUACAUCCAAUUCAAAAUCAAAUUCAAAAUCCAAUAUUCUUCUAGAUCAAGUGGAUGUUAAUAAUAAAAAAUUAUCAAAAGAAGAAU